rnacentral:rRNA from 1 species
UACAGAGGGUGCAAGCGUUGUUCGGAAUUAUUGGGCGUAAAGGGCGCGUAGGCGGUGCGGUAAGUCCGCAGUGAAAUCUCUGGGCUCAACUCAGAGUCUGCUGUGGAAACUGCCGUGCUCGAGUGUGGGAGAGGUGAGUGGAAUUCCUGGUGUAGCGGUGAAAUGCGUAGAUAUCAGGAGGAACACCUGUGGCGAAAGCGGCUCACUGGACCAUAACUGACGCUGAUGCACGAAAGCUAGGGGAGCAAACAGG